GUACUGCUGCAAGAGUUCAGCAGACAGGAAGGCCCGCGACGCUGCCACGGCGUCGUGGUACUGAUCCGGAAACACGGCCUCGGGAGCCAGGCGUUUCUGGGCAGAAAUCAUUUCCUGGUCUCGUCAGUUCAACCGUGUCCAAGACAACUGAACGAACCCUCUGUUUGCUGAAACGGACACAAACUUACCGUGAAGUUGAACAUAAAAAACCUCCUGUUUCAUGAAAGCCACAGCAGCACUGCCGCUAGCAAGAAGAAAAUAAAAGGAGUGAAUUUGCUGAUUUAA